rnacentral:rRNA from 1 species
AGAGUUUGAUCCUGGCUCAGAACGAACGCUGGCGGCAUGCCUAACACAUGCAAGUCGAACGGUAACAGGCCCGCAAGGGUGCUGACGAGUGGCGCACGGGUGAGUAACGCGUGGAUACCUAUCAUGGGGUGGGGGACAACAGCUGGAAACGGCUGCUAAUACCGCAUACGUCCUACGGGAGAAAGAUUUAUUGCCCUAUGAGGGGUCCGCGUCCGAUUAGCUAGUUGGUGGGGUAAAGGCCUACCAAGGCGACGAUCGGUAGCUGGUCUGAGAUGAUGAUCAGCCACACUGGGACUGAGACACGGCCCAGACUCCUACGGGAGGCAGCAGUGGGGAAUAUUGCACAACGGGCGAAAGCCUGAUGCAGCAAUGCCGCGUGGGUGAAGAAGGCCUUAGGGUUGUAAAGCCCUUUUAGUGGGAACGAUGAUGACGGUACCCACAGAAAAAGCCACGGCUAACUCCGUGCCAGCAGCCGCGGUAAUACGGAGGUGGCGAGCGUUGUUCGGAAUUACUGGGCGUAAAGCGCGCGUAGGCGGUCGGCCAAGUCGGGAGUGAAAGCCCAAGGCUCAACCUUGGAACUGCUCUCGAACUGGUCUGACUGGAGUCCGGCAGAGGAUGGCGGAAUUCCCCGUGUAGAGGUGAAAUUCGUAGAUAUGGGGAGGAACACCAGAGGCGAAGGCGGCCAUCUGGACCGGUACUGACGCUGAGGCGCGAAAGCGUGGGGAGCGAACAGGAUUAGAUACCCUGGUAGUCCACGCUGUAAACGAUGAGUGCUAGUUGUCGCGGGUAUCGACCCCUGCGGUAACGAAGCAAACGCGUUAAGCACUCCGCCUGGGGAGUACGGCCGCAAGGCUAAAACUCAAAGGAAUUGACGGGGGCCCGCACAAGCGGUGGAGCAUGUGGUUUAAUUCGAUGCAACGCGAAGAACCUUACCUGCUCUUGACAUCCUGCGAAUCUCUUAGAGAUAAGGGAGUGCCUUUCGGGGAACGCAGAGACAGGUGCUGCAUGGCUGUCGUCAGCUCGUGUCGUGAGAUGUUGGGUUAAGUCCCGCAACGAGCGCAACCCUUGCCUUCAGUUGCCAUCGGGUCAUGCCGGGCACUCUGGAGGGACUGCCGGUGUCAAGCCGGAGGAAGGUGGGGACGACGUCAAGUCAUCAUGGCCUUUAUGAGCAGGGCUACACACGUGCUACAAUGGCGAGUACAAAGGGUUGCGAAACGGCGACGUUGAGCUAAUCCCAAAAAGCUUGUCUCAGUUCGGAUUGCAGUCUGCAACUCGACUGCAUGAAGUCGGAAUCGCUAGUAAUCGCGGAUCAGCAUGCCGCGGUGAAUACGUUCCCCGGCCUUGUACACACCGCCCGUCACACCAUGGGAGUUGGUUUGACCUGACGCCGGUGGCCUAACCCGUAAGGGAGGGAGCCGUCCACGGUCGGAUCAGCGACUGGGGUGAAGUCGAAACAAGGUA